GUCUACGGCCAUGCCACCUGAACAAGCCCGAUGUCUGAUUUCGGAAGCUAAGUAGGGUCGGGCCUGAUUAGUACUUGGAUGGGAGACCAUCUAGGAAGACCAGGUGCUGUAGGCA
rnacentral:rRNA from 1 species